UAUAUAUAUAUAUAUAUAUAUAUAAACAGUAACUUUAAAAGUAAAUUAAGUGGCUAUAUUGAGUCCGUGAAUAUAUAUCAAUUUUAAUCAGGCCAGAUUUCUAUUGACGUUACUGUGAAAUAUGUAACAAGAAGUAUCAAGCAUGAAUUGUAGUUAGUGUGUGCGUGUGCGCGCGUGCAAGUGAUAAUUUGUUUCUCUCAAACUCGAGCUGUGGUCGGGUUAGAGACGAUAGGAAAAUAGACUGAUUUAGAAAACACGACGCGAACUGAAAGACGCACCAAUUCGAAACAAGAAAUUCUUCAUACAAAACAUUAAAUCUUGUAUGACGGAACUUUCUCUAAGCCGCAUUUUAGUAAUUCUGUGUUUGAAUAAAUUAGACCAUAUAGGCUCAGUACAAAAAGAUUAUUUUAAUAACUACGUUUCGGAGUAUAACUCCAUCUUCAGGUUAAAAAGUAACUAAAGAUAUAAAACUUUAAAAACAAUUACAAAUUUAGACAAAAUCCGUUAGGAUUGCGUAUAAUAGCUGACGUGCGCUUCAAACUAAUUCGUGUCCGUGCGC